UAACGCGUGAGCAACCUGCCUUGAAGUGGGGGACAACAGUUGGAAACGACUGCUAAUACCGCAUAAUAUAUCUGAGUCGCAUGGCUUGGAUAUCAAAGAUUUAUCGCUUCAAGAUGGGCUCGCGUCUGAUUAGGUAGUUGGCGGGGUAACGGCCCACCAAGCCGACGAUCAGUAGCCGGCCUGAGAGGGCGACCGGCCACAUUGGGACUGAGACACGGCCCAGACUCCUACGGGAGGCAGCAG
rnacentral:rRNA from 1 species